UUGGAGGGCAAGUCUGGUGCCAGCAGCCGCGGUAAUUCCAGCUCCAAUAGCGUAUAUUAAAGUUGUUGUGGUUAAAAAGCUCGUAGUUGAACCUUGGGCCUGGCUGGCCGGUCCGCCUCACCGCGUGUACUGGUCCGGCCGGGCCUUUCCCUCUGUGGAACCCCAUGCCCUUCACUGGGUGUGGCGGGGAAACAGGACUUUUACUUUGAAAAAAUUAGAGUGCUCCAGGCAGGCCUAUGCUCGAAUACAUUAGCAUGGAAUAAUAGAAUAGGACGUGUGGUUCUAUUUUGUUGGUUUCUAGGACCGCCGUAAUGAUUAAUAGGGACAGUCGGGGGCAUCAGUAUUCAAUUGUCAGAGGUGAAAUUCUUGGAUUUAUUGAAGACUAACUACUGCGAAAGCAUUUGCCAAGGAUGUUUUCAUUAAUCAGGAACGAAAGUUAGGGGAUCGAAGACGAUCAGAUACCGUCGUAGUCUUAACCAUAAACUAUGCCGACUAGGGAUCGGACGAUGUUAUUUUUUGACUCGUUUGGCACCUUACGGGAAAC
rnacentral:rRNA from 1 species